UGUCAAAACUAAAUUUUAUUGUCUGUCUUGGACAGAAUUGUUUAUCCAAUAUGUGUUUCAGCAGGUAUGGAAGAACUAAAAGAUGUAGCUGGACAUAAAGCUAGCAUAAGCAGUGACGUCCACCCAGUCAGGGAAAAGGCCCCUCAAAUUUUUAGCUCGAUCAACCAAAACUUGGUCGAUCACAGCAAGCUCCACCCUCAAAUCAUUAGAAUUGCUUGCCU
rnacentral:misc_RNA from 1 species